rnacentral:rRNA from 1 species
GACGAACGCUGGCGGCGUGCUUUACACAUGCAAGUCGAACGGUGAAGGUGGAGCUUGCUCCGCCGGAUCAGUGGCGAACGGGUGAGUAACACGUGGACAACCUGCCCCUAACUUUGGGAUAACUACUCGAAAGAGUAGCUAAUACCGGAUAUGAAGUCCGUAGGCAUCUAUGGAUUUGGAAAGUUUUUCGGUUAGGGAUGGGCCCGCGGCCUAUCAGCUUGUUGGUGAGGUAGUGGCUCACCAAGGCGACGACGGGUAGCCGGCCUGAGAGGGCGACCGGCCACACUGGGACUGAGACACGGCCCAGACUCCUACGGGAGGCAGCAGUGGGGAAUAUUGCGCAAUGGGCGAAAGCCUGACGCAGCAACGCCGCGUGCGGGAUGAAGGCCUUCGGGUUGUAAACCGCUUUCAGCAGGGAAGAAGCGAAAGUGACGGUACCUGCAGAAGAAGCACCGGCUAACUACGUGCCAGCCGCCGCGGUAA